GCUUAUGCGUUGUUGGGUAGGGGAGCGUUCUGUAAGCCUGCGAAGGUGUGCUGUGAGGCAUGCUGGAGGUAUCAGAAGUGCGAAUGCUGACAUAAGUAACGAUAAAGCGGGUGAAAAGCCCGCUCGCCGGAAGACCAAGGGUUCCUGUCCAACGUUAAUCGGGGCAGGGUGAGUCGACCCCUAAGGCGAGGCCGAAAGGCGUAGUCGAUGGGAAACAGGUUAAUAUUCCUGUACUUGGUGUUACUGCGAAGGGGGGACGGAGAAGGCUAUGUUGGCCGGGCGACGGUUGUCCCGGUUUAAGCGUGUAGGCUGGUUUUCCAGGCAAAUCCGGAAAAUCAAGGCUGAGGCGUGAUGACGAGGCACUACGGUGCUGAAGCAACAAAUGCCCUGCUUCCAGGAAAAGCCUCUAAGCAUCAGGUAACAUCAAAUCGUACCCCAAACCGACACAGGUGGUCAGGUAGAGAAUACCAAGGCGCUUGAGAGAACUCGGGUGAAGGAACUAGGCAAAAUGGUGCCGUAACUUCGGGAGAAGGCACGCUGAUAUGUAGGUGAAGUCCCUUGCGGAUGGAGCUGAAAUCAGUCGAAGAUACCAGCUGGCUGCAACUGUUUAUUAAAAACACAGCACUGUGCAAACACGAAAGUGGACGUAUACGGUGUGACGCCUGCCCGGUGCCGGAAGGUUAAUUGAUGGGGUCAGCGCAAGCGAAGCUCUUGAUCGAAGCCCCGGUAAACGGCGGCCGUAACUAUAACGGUCCUAAGGUAGCGAAAUUCCUUGUCGGGUAAGUUCCGACCUGCACGAAUGGCGUAAUGAUGGCCAGGCUGUCUCCACCCGAGACUCAGUGAAAUUGAACUCGCUGUGAAGAUGCAGUGUACCCGCGGCAAGACGGAAAGACCCCGUGAACCUUUACUAUAGCUUGACACUGAACAUUGAGCCUUGAUGUGUAGGAUAGGUGGGAGGCUUUGAAGUGUGGACGCCAGUCUGCAUGGAGCCGGCCUUGAAAUACCACCCUUUAAUGUUUGAUGUUCUAACGUGGACCCGUGAUCCGGGUUGCGGACAGUGUCUGGUGGGUAGUUUGACUGGGGCGGUCUCCUCCUAAAGAGUAACGGAGGAGCACGAAGGUUGGCUAAUCCUGGUCGGACAUCAGGAGGUUAGUGCAAUGGCAUAAGCCAGCUUGACUGCGAGCGUGACGGCGCGAGCAGGUGCGAAAGCAGGUCAUAGUGAUCCGGUGGUUCUGAAUGGAAGGGCCAUCGCUCAACGGAUAAAAGGUACUCCGGGGAUAACAGGCUGAUACCGCCCAAGAGUUCAUAUCGACGGCGGUGUUUGGCACCUCGAUGUCGGCUCAUCACAUCCUGGGGCUGAAGUAGGUCCCAAGGGUAUGGCUGUUCGCCAUUUAAAGUGGUACGCGAGCUGGGUUUAGAACGUCGUGAGACAGUUCGGUCCCUAUCUGCCGUGGGCGCUGGAGAACUGAGGGGGGCUGCUCCUAGUACGAGAGGACCGGAGUGGACGCAUCACUGGUGUUCGGGUUGUCAUGCCAAUGGCACUGCCCGGUAGCUAAAUGCGGAAGAGAUAAGUGCUGAAAGCAUCUAAGCACGAAACUUGCCCCGAGAUGAGUUCUCCCUGACCCUUUAAGGGUCCUGAAGGAACGUUGAAGACGACGACGUUGAUAGGCCGGGUGUGUAAGCGCAGCGAUGCGUUGAGCUAACCGGUACUAAUGAACCGUGAGGCUUAACCUU
rnacentral:rRNA from 1 species